CCCGCAACGAGCGCAACCCUUGAUCUUAGUUGCCAGCAUUCAGUUGGGCACUCUAAGAUGACUGCCGGUGACAAACCGGAGGAAGGUGGGGAUGACGUCAAAUCAUCAUGCCCCUUAUGACCUGGGCUACACACGUGCUACAAUGGACGGUACAAAGGGCAGCGAGACCGCGAGGUUUAGCCAAUCCCAUAAAACCGUUCUCAGUUCGGAUUGUAGGCUGCAACUCGCCUACAUGAAGCUGGAAUCGCUAGUAAUCGCGGAUCAGCAUGCCGCGGUGAAUACGUU
rnacentral:rRNA from 1 species